rnacentral:rRNA from 1 species
AUACGUAGGGGGCGAGCGUUGUCCGGAAUGAUUGGGCGUAAAGGGCGCGUAGGCGGCCCGGUAAGUCUGGAGUGAAAGUCCUGUUUUUAAGAUGGGAAUUGCUUUGGAUACUGUCGGGCUUGAGUGCAGGAGAGGUAAGUGGAAUUCCCAGUGUAGCGGUGAAAUGCGUAGAGAUUGGGAGGAACACCAGUGGCGAAGGCGACUUACUGGACUGUAACUGACGCUGAGGCGCGAAAGUGUGGGGAGCAAACAGGAUUAGAUACCCUGGUAGUCCACACUGUAAACGAUGAAUGCUAGGUGUAGGGGGUAUCGACCCCUUCUGUGCCGCAGUCAACACAAUAAGCAUUCCGCCUGGGGAGUACGGCCGCAAGGUUGAAACUCAAAUGAAUUGGCAGGG